UACGUAGGGUGCGAGCGUUAAUCGGAAUUACUGGGCGUAAAGCGUGCGCAGGCGGUUCGUUAAGUCAGCUGUGAAAGCCCCGGGCUCAACCUGGGAAUUGCGGUUGAAACUGGCGAACUAGAAUCUGGCAGAGGGGGGGUGGAAUUCCACGUGUAGCAGUGAAAUGCGUAGAGAUGUGGAGGAACACCGAUGGCGAAGGCAGCCCCCUGGGCUAACACUGACGCUCAUGCACGAAAGCGUGGGGAGCAAACAGG
rnacentral:rRNA from 1 species